AUUGAACGCUGGCGGCAUGCUUUACACAUGCAAGUCGAACGGCAGCGCGGGCUUCGGCCUGGCGGCGAGUGGCGAACGGGUGAGUAAUACAUCGGAACGUGCCCAGUAGUGGGGGAUAGCUCGGCGAAAGCCGGAUUAAUACCGCAUACGACCUGAGGGUGAAAGCGGGGGAUCUUCGGACCUCGCGCUAUUGGAGCGGCCGAUGGCAGAUUAGCUAGUUGGUGGGGUAAAGGCCUACCAAGGCGACGAUCUGUAGCUGGUCUGAGAGGACGACCAGCCAGGGGGCGGAGAGGUACACGCACGAGCAGCGAGGGGGGCGGGAGGAGGGAGUGUGGGGGCAGGGUGCGAAAGCUGGAACCAGCAAGGCCGGGUGUGUGAGGAAGGCCUGAGGGUUGAAAAGGCGUUGUGGCGGGAACGAGAAGGACGGGGCAAAGAGGGCGGUGCGAAGACGGUACCCGAAGAAUAAGCACCGAAUAACGCCGUGCCAGCAGCCGCGGUAAUAAUAGAAGAGCACACGUCUCAUC
rnacentral:rRNA from 1 species